GAUGAAGAACGUAGCGAAAUGCGAUAAGUAAUGUGAAUUGCAGAAUUCAGUGAAUCAUCGAAUCUUUGAACGCACAUUGCGCCCGGUAGUAUUCUGGCGGGCAUGCCUGUUCGAGCGUCAUUUCAACCAUCAAGCCCCAGGCUUGUGUUGGGGACCUGCGGCUGCCGCAGGCCCUGAAAACCAGUGGCGGGCUCGCUGUCACACCGGGCGUAGUAGAUUUUAUCUCGCUCUGGGCGUGCUGCGGGUUCCGGCCGUUAAAAAACCCUUUUAACCCAAGGUUGACCUCGGAUCAGGUAGGAAUACCCGCUGAACUUAAGCAUAUCAAUAAGCGGAGGA
rnacentral:misc_RNA from 1 species